rnacentral:rRNA from 1 species
AUUGAACGCUGGCGGCAGGCUUAACACAUGCAAGUCGAGUGGAGCGGCGGACGGGUGAGUAAUGCCUAGGAAUCUGCCUGGUAGUGGGGGAUAAGGUCCGGAAACGGGCGCUAAUACCGAUUACUAUCAGAUGCGCCCACGUGGGAUUAGGUAGUUGGUGUGGUAAAGGCUCACCAAGCCGACGAUCUCUAGAUGGGCUGAGAGGAUGACCAGUCACACGGGGACUGUGAAACGGCCCAGACUCCUACGAGAGGCAGCAGUGGGGAAUAGUGCGCAGUGGGGGCAACCCUGACGCAGCCAUGCCGCGUGAAUGAAGAAGGCCUUCGGGUUGUAAAGUUCUUUCGGUAGCGAUGCGUUAACUACAGAAGAAGCACCGACUAACGCCGUGCCAGCAGCCGCGGUAAUAC